UCGCAGGUUUCCCAGUACCAUUUCAAAGAAAUUUCGGGAAGAGUUAGCAAAGAGCAUAAGUACUAAUAAUGUACGAGAUGCCUUCAAGCUGACCUUCAUUGGAGCAAUACCCGAUUAUAUACUGAAGCCUUCUACAAAGAAGAAUAACAAUAAGACAUCCAAUAGAGCACAACUCAGAUUAAAUGCACAAAGAUUGGCAGUGUUCCACAACACCAUUCUACAGUCUCAUAUUAAUAUUUUAAAUAAAUGGUAUAAAAAACUUUCACCAAAGAAUGUAAUGAAUCAAAAUGAUUACAAUGCCAUUCACACCUGGAUUAAUGCAAAGGGUUAUUUAGACCAGAACGAUCUGUUUCACAAGAUGGUUGUAGGUUUCCUGCCUUGAGCUGGAAUUUACAAAAAUAGAAGCGAGAUGACCAGCUUUGGAGAAGAACGAUUGUAAUCACAAAAGAUGGAUUCAGCUGCUUCAAAAGAAAAGAAGAAAAAUUGUUUGAAACAUUGCAGCACGAUGCCGUCUGCUAUCUAAUAGCAAAGCUACAGAAUUUUAAAAAAAUGCUUUGCUUUAAAUUACAUAUGAAAAUAAUUCCCUUUGUUUCUUGAUAGUUUGUUUUAUUGAUUACUAGUGUGUGUGUCAGUAAUACACACUCCAUGCAACUUGCAGUACAGCGUGAAAUUCUGACUUACUUACUGAAAUCUGUAGAAUAAUCAGAAAAUGAUCUGAUACGGAAAUAUCAUUAACUGAAUAGUUUGUAUUUAAGCAAUAAUACACAACAGGGUGUGUGUUAUCAUAAGAGAUUGCCACGCCUUCAAGCCCCUCGAUAACACAUCCUGGAGAGAAUCAUUGCUGUUAUUGAUUUAUGAAUGCGAUGAUGGUGUUAAAUGAGAAAAAAAGCACUGAGGUUUCUUAUUAUUUGUGCAACAUUACACUAAGAGAAGUACUGCUGCAAAGUGAAAUUGUUAACUUUAAAAUUUGAUUGAGAACUGUUCAAAAGUUACUUCAAAAAAAGGUAUUUAACAGCUUGUUUGUAACCCACUUUACUAUAAGGAUUGUUGUAAUUCUGAAGUGACUGUUUUUGUAUUGGAUGUGUUGAUUUUAGACAGCGAUGAGGCUGCUUUAGAGAAAUCAGUAAUGUUAUCAUGAGGACAUCUCAGGCAAUCAGAGUCUAGGAUUGUUCCUAAUUAUUUCUAUGAUUAGACAAUAUGCUUUACAUUAA